rnacentral:rRNA from 1 species
AAUUAUAAUUUUAAUAUAAUUAUUACUGCGGGUGGCUCCUGUAGUACAGAAUAAUGAUAGGGAGGAUAAUGACGUUACCUAUAGAUGAGUACCGUCCAAUUUAUUGGUGCCAGAAGACUCGGUAAGACCUGUGGUGCAAACGUUAGCCAUCUUAAAUCGGCGUAAAGGGUGUGUAGACGUUCUAGGGAAGUAAGUAAUUAGAUGUAUUAAUGUAAAUUUAAAUUUAUUAAGUAUAUAGUAGAAAUACUCCUUAUGAAACUAGAUAUGAUCUUAAAGAAGUUUGGUUAAUUAUAGGUAGAGGGUUGACAUCUUAAGAAACCUGUAGGAGAACUAGUGGCGAAGGCUCCAAACUAUUAAAGAUUGAAGUUAAGAUACGAGAGUUUGGGAAGGAAAGAGGAUUAGAUACCCUGUUACUCCAAACCGUAAAAUAUGAGUGGUAAGUGUCAGGGCUUUGAAGCUAUGGUGCUGAUGUAAACGAGCGUUAACCAUUCCGCCUUAUGAGUAUACUUGCAAAAGUGAAAAUAAAAAAAUUAGUCAGUCUUAGAGCAAACGGAGUGAAGCAUGUUAUUUAAUUC